AUACGGAGGAUGCGAGCGUUAUCCGGAUUUAUUGGGUUUAAAGGGAGCGUAGGUGGGAUAUUAAGUCAGCUGUGAAAGUUUGGGGCUCAACCUUAAAAUUGCAGUUGAUACUGGUUUCCUUGAGUACGGUAUAGGUGGGCGGAAUUCGUGGUGUAGCGGUGAAAUGCUUAGAUAUCACGAAGAACUCCGAUCGCGAAGGCAGCUCACCGGGCCGGAACUGACACUGAUGCUCGGAAGGGCGGGUAUCAAACAGGAUUAGAUACCCUGGUAGUCCGCACAGUAAACGAUGAAUACUCGCUGUUUGCGAUACACUGUAAGCGGCCAAGCGAAAGCGUUAAGUAUUCCACCUGGGGAGUACGCCGGCAACGGUGAAACUCAAAUGAAUUGACGGGG
rnacentral:rRNA from 1 species